GCCGUAACACAGGUGCUGCAUGGCUGUCGUCAGCUCGUGUCGUGAGAUGUUGGGUUAAGUCCCGCAACGAGCGCAACCCUUGUCAUUAGUUGCUACAUUCAGUUGGGCACUCUAAUGAGACUGCCGGUGACAAGCCGGAGGAAGGUGGGGAUGACGUCAAGUCCUCAUGGCCCUUAUAGGUGGGGCUACACACGUCAUACAAUGGCUGGUACAAAGGGUUGCCAACCCGCGAGGGGGAGCCAAUCCCAUAAAGCCAGUCGUAGUCCGGAUCGUAGUCUGCAACUCGACUACGUGAAGUCGGAAUCGCUAGUAAUCGUGGAUCAGAAUGUCACGGUGAAUACGUUCCCGGGUCUU
rnacentral:rRNA from 1 species